rnacentral:snRNA from 1 species
GUGCUUACUGUGUCAGCACAUGUACUAAAAUUGGGACAAUACAGAGAAGAUCAGCAUGGCUCCUGCACAAGGAUGACAUGCAAAUUCGUGAAGCAUUCCGUAUGUUU